rnacentral:rRNA from 1 species
GACGAACGCUGGCGGCGUGCCUAAUACAUGCAAGUCGAACGCAGUGGGGAUGGGUGAGUAACACGUGGCUAACCUCCCAUCAGAGGGGAUAACACUUGGCAACAGGUGCUUAACCGAUACUGACGGAUGGACUCGCGGUGCAUUAGCUUGUUGGUGGGGUAACGGCUCACCAAGGCCACGAUGCAUAGCCGACCUUAGAGGAUGAUCAGCCACACUGGGACUGAGACACGGCCCAGACUCCUACGGGAGGCAGCAGUAGGGAAUCUUCGGCAAUGGACGAAAGUCUGACCGAGCAACGCCGUGUGAAUGAAGAAGGUUUUCGGAUCGUAAAGCUCUGUUGUAAGAGAGGCGGUAUCUAACCAGAAAGCCACGGCUAACUACGUGCCAGCAGCCGCGGUAAUAC